rnacentral:rRNA from 1 species
GAUGAACGCUAGCGGGAGGCCUAAUACAUGCAAGUCGAACGGUAACAGGGUAGCAAUAUCGCUGACGAGUGGCGCACGGGUGAGUAACACGUACACAAUCUGCCUUAUACUGGAGCAUACCCCCAAGAAAUUGGGAUUAAUUCUCCAUAAUAUAUUGAAGAGGCAUCUCUUUAAUAUUAAAACUCCGGUGGUAUAAGAUGGGUGUGCGGCUGAUUAGAUAGUUGGCGGGGUAACGGCCCACCAAGUCUACGAUCAGUAGCUGAUGUGAGAGCAUGAUCAGCCACACGGGCACUGAGACACGGGCCCGACUCCUACGGGAGGCAGCAGUAAGGAAUAUUGGACAAUGGACGCAAGUCUGAUCCAGCCAUGCCGCGUGAAGGAUUAAGGUCCUCUGGAUUGUAAACUUCUUUUAUAAGGGACGAAAAAAGGCUUUUCUAAGUCGUCUGACGGUACCUUAUGAAUAAGCACCGGCUAACUCCGUGCCAGCCGCCGCAGUAAUAC